rnacentral:rRNA from 1 species
GCAGUCGAACGAGAAGUUUCCUUCGGGAAGCGAGUAGAGUGGCGCACGGGUGAGUAACGCGUAGGUAAUCUACCUUUAUGAUCGGGAUAACAUUGGGAAACUGGUGCUAAUACCGGAUACCCUUCCUGGCUUUGGGGUCAGGGAGGAAAGGUGGCCUCUUCAUGAAAGCUACCGCAUAGAGAUGAGCCUGCGUACCAUUAGCUAGCAGGCGGGGUAACGGCCCACCUAGGCGACGAUGGUUAGCGGGUCUGAGAGGAUGAUCCGCCACACUGGAACUGGAACACGGACCAGACUCCUACGGGAGGCAGCAGUGAGGAAUAUUGCGCAAUGGGGGAAACCCUGACGCAGCGACGCCGCGUGAGUGAAGAAGGUUUUCGGAUCGUAAAGCUCUGUCAGAAGGGAAGAAAUGCUGCAUGGUUAAUACCCAUGCAGUUUGACGGUACCUUCAGAGGAAGCACCGGCUAACUCCGUGCCAGCAGCCGCGGUAAUACGGAGGGUGCAAGCGUUGUUCGGAAUUACUGGGCGUAAAGGGCGCGCAGGCGGCCUGAUAAGUCAGAUGUGAAAGUCCAUGGCUCAACCGUGGAAGUGCAUUUGAAACUGUCUGGCUUGAGUAUCGGAGGGGAGUGUGGAAUUCCCGGUGUAGAGGUGAAAUUCGUAGAGAUCGGGAGGAACACCGGUGGCGAAGGCGACACUCUGGACGAAUACUGACGCUGAGGCGCGAAAGCGUGGGGAGCAAACAGGAUUAGAUACCCUGGUAGUC